rnacentral:rRNA from 1 species
CCUACGGGAGGCAGCAGUAGGGAAUUUUCCACAAUGGACGAAAGUCUGAUGGAGCAACGCCGCGUGAGUGAAGAAGGGUUUCGGCUCGUAAAGCUCUGUUGGUAGUGAAGAAAGAUAGAGGUAGUAACUGGCCUUUAUUUGACGGUAAUUACUUAGACAGUCACGGCUAACUACGUGCCAGCAGCCGCGGUAAUACGUAGGUGGCAAGCGUUGUCCGGAUUUAUUGGGCGUAAAGCGAGUGCAGGCGGUUCAAUAAGUCUGAUGUGAAAGCCUUCGGCUCAACCGGAGAAUUGCAUCAGAAACUGUUGAACUGGAGUGCAGAAGAGGAGAGUGGAACUCCAUGUGUAGCGGUGGAAUGCGUAGAUAUAUGGAAGAACACCAGUGGCGAAGGCGGCUCUCUGGUCUGCAACUGACGCUGAGGCUCGAAAGCAUGGGUAGCGAACAGGAUUAGAUACCCCAGUAGUC